rnacentral:rRNA from 1 species
CGGAGGAAAAGAAACUAACAAGGAUUCCCCUAGUAACUGCGAGUGAAGCGGGAAAAGCUCAAAUUUAAAAUCUGGCGGUCUUAUGGCUGUCCGAGUUGUAAUCUAGAGAAGUGUUAUCCGCGCUGGACCGUGUACAAGUCUCCUGGAAUGGAGCAUCAUAGAGGGUGAGAAUCCCGUCUUUGACAUGGACUGCCAGGGCUUUGUGAUGCGCUCUCAAAGAGUCGAGUUGUUUGGGAAUGCAGCUCAAAAUGGGUGGUAAAUUCCAUCUAAAGCUAAAUAUUGGCGAGAGACCGAUAGCGAACAAGUACCGUGAGGGAAAGAUGAAAAGAACUUUGGAAAGAGAGUUAAACAGUACGUGAAAUUGCUGAAAGGGAAACGCUUGAAGUCASUCAUGUCAUCCAGGGAUCAACCUUGCUUUUGCUUGGUGCACUUUCUGGUUUGACGGGUCAGCAUCAAUUUUGACCAUUGGAAAAAGGUUGAGGGAAUGUGGCAUCUUUGGAUGUGUUAUAGCCCUUGGUCGUAUACAAUGGUUGGUAUUGAGGAACUCAGCACGCCGCAAGGCCGGGUUUUUAACCACGUACGUGCUUAGGAUGCUGGCAAUAUGGCUUUAAUCGACCCGUCUUGAAACACGGACCAAGGAGUCUAACAUGCCUGCGAGUGUUUGGGUGGAAAACCCGAGCGCGUAAUGAAAGUGAAAGGUUGAGAUCCCUGUCGUGGGGAGCAUCGACGCCCGGACCAGACCUUUUGUGACGGUUCCGCGGUAGAGCAUGUAUGUUGGGACCCGAAAGAUGGUGAACUAUGCCUGAAUAGGGUGAAUCCAGAGGAAACUCUGGUGGAGGCUCGUAGCGAUUCUGACGUGCAAAUCGAUCGUCAAAUUUGGGUAUAGGGGCGAAAGACUAAUCGA